AUUGAACGCUGGCGGCAGGCCUAACACAUGCAAGUCGAACGAGUGGCGGACGGGUGAGUAAUGUCUGGGAAACUGCCCGAUGGAGGGGGAUAACUACUGGAAACGGUAGCUAAUACCGCCUACCAUCGGAUGUGCCCAGAUGGGAUUAGCUUGUAGGUGAGGUAACGGCUCACCUAGGCGACGAUCCCUAGCUGGUCUAAGCGGAUGACCAGCGACGCUGGAACGGAGAAACGGUCCAGAAGCCGACGGGAGGCAGCAGUGGGGAAUAUUGAACAAGGGGCGCAAGAAUGAUGCAGACAGGCCGCGUGUAUGAAGAAGGCCGUCGGGUGGUAAAGUACUUGCAGCGGGGAGGCGUUACCCGCAGAAGAAGCACCGGCUAACUCCGUGCCAGCAGCCGCGGUAAGUC
rnacentral:rRNA from 1 species